ACGCUCGACACCUACGGGAUGCAGCAGUGGGGAAUAUUGCACAAUGGGGGAAACCCUGAUGCAGCGACGCCGCGUGAGCGAAGAAGUAUUUCGGUAUGUAAAGCUCUAUCAGCAGGGAAGAAACUGACGGUACCUGACUAAGAAGCACCGGCUAAAUACGUGUCAGCAGCCGCGGUAAUCUGAGCGGGCUGGCAAGGC
rnacentral:rRNA from 1 species